UUUCCGUAGGUGAACCUGCGGAAGGAUCAUUAUUGUAUAACCGAGGUGCGUGGACUAUCGCUGACCCGAACCUACGUACACGCUCGAGUGGCCCCCGACACCCCCAUCCCACCCCUAUGUGCACCCCCGCGCGCGCCCCCCUCUUGCUUUUUCGGAGGGGGGCUUACGUUUUCACACACUCUUUUUAGGCAGAGCAUAAUGCAUUUGUUGUUUUUGCUAUCGCGCAGUCGAUACAACUUUCAACAAGGGAUCGCUUGGCUCUCGAAUCCAUUAACAACG
rnacentral:misc_RNA from 1 species